rnacentral:rRNA from 1 species
CAGGACGUUGAUAGGUCGGGUGUGGAAGCGCUGUGAGGCGUGAAGCUAACCGAUACUAAUUGCUCGUGAGGCUUGAUCC